rnacentral:rRNA from 1 species
UACAGAGGGUGCAAGCGUUAAUCGGAAUUACUGGGCGUAAAGGGCGCGUAGGCGGAGCAUUAAGUUAGAUGUGAAAUCCCUGGGCUUAACCUGGGAAUGGCAUUUAAUACUGAUAAUCUAGAGUAGAGUAGAGGGAAGUGGAAUUUCCGGUGUAGCGGUGAAAUGCGUAGAGAUCGGAAAGAACACCAGUGGCGAAGGCGGCUUCCUGGACUCAUACUGACGCUGAGGCGCGAAAGCGUGGGGAGCAAACAGG